GACGAACCGUCCAAACGUUAUUCGGAAUCACUGGGCUUACAGAGUUCGUAGGCGGUCUGGAAAGUUGGGUGUGAAAUCCCUCGGCUCAACCGAGGAACUGCGCUUGAAACUACCAGACUCGAGGGAGAUAGAGGAAAGCGGAACUGAUGGUGGAGCGGUGAAAUGCGUUGAUAUCAUCAGGAACACCGGUGGCGAAGGCGCUUUCUGGGUCUUACCUGACGCUGAGGAACGAAAGCCAGGGGAGCGAACGGG
rnacentral:rRNA from 1 species